GCUCCGGCCCGAUCGCAAAGGACGGGGGAAGGACCGGCCGGGGGCUGAGAGCGUCACUCAGGAGGCCUUUAAUUCGCCGCUUUUCAUGACGUUCAGAUCGGAGCCGCCGCUCCUCUGCCACAGCAGUACCAACUAGCAGCAGCAGCCACUAGCGCCGCGGCAUAGCCGCCAUCUUGUAAUCCGACUCCUGUCCCGUCCCUGCCUUUCUCUUCCUCUCCUAGCCGGGGGAGGGAGAGGGACGGAAGGCCUGCACGGGCUCCACUAGCAGGGGCUAUGGCGGCCGGGAAGGGAAGUAAAAGAAAAGGCUGUCAGUUUGCGAAGGAGGAAGGGGUUGAGAAUACAUUGCGCCUGCGUGCUGCAUGGUCUUCUGCUGGCGGCGGGAAGACGGCGUUGCCCAGCGUUUUUUCUUGCAAUAACAGUUAUCUGUUUCCGUGGUUUCUUGGAAUGAUAUCGUCUCUAAACAGGAAGCGUCUCUGAAGGUCCUUAUCCAAGAUUCCCAGCACUUCUCUCCUUUAUUGUUUUAUUAAAUUAAUCUGGGUUUCUUCGCUGUUGCCUUUAAGAUGAAAGCCCCAUUCCCCUGGUUGCAAAGGCGUUGAAGACGACAAGUUGGGACGAUACUAUACUCUUAAGAACGUGGAGACAAAAUCACUCACCUCCCGCGCUCAUCAGUCAUAAUACUGUAUUUUUUUUCAUCAAAAAAAUUCUACAGCUAUUUUACCCCAAGACUUCUGUUUAACCUUUUCCUUCAACUGCCUUGAGAAAACAUGCUACUUGAUACAGCUGGAGCACAGCGAAGCAAGACUUCAGAGAUGGACAAAGUAAGUAGGGAGGUAUAAAGACCUUAGCUUCAAUUUUUGGAGACGGAGUCACCUUCAGAUGCAAACUGACUUGCUAAGGAUUUUAGCUUCUGUUAAUUAAUAAAUAACAGUCUUGAUGCCCUACAGUUUUUAUCAAUUCUGCAGGGUUUGACACGCCUGUAUGUUAAACCAUGAUGCAUAAAAUUAAGAGCAAGCAAUCUAAUAAACAGGCCUAGAAGGAUGCUGUGACCGAUGGUAUCAAUUAAUGGAAUAACAGUUGAGAGGGACCUGGGAGGUCUUCUAGUCCAACCCCUUGCUCAAGCAGGAAAUCUUUUAUGUUUCAGACAAUCUUAAAACCUCCAGUGUUGGAGCACCCACAGCUUCUGCAGACAAGUUCCACUGAUUAAUUGUUCUGUCAGGAAAUUUCUAAGUUGCUUCUCUCCUUGAUUAGAUUCCAUCCAUUGCUUCUUCUCCUGCCUUCAGGUGUUUUGGCGAAUAGGUUGACCCCCGUCCUUUGGGGCAGCCCCAUAGAUAUUGGAACACUGCUAUCACAUCACUUCUAGUCCUUCUUUUCAUUAAACUAGAAAUACCCAA